rnacentral:rRNA from 1 species
CCUGGUAGCGGGGGAUAACUAUUGGAAACGAUAGCUAAUACCGCAUGAAAUGGAUUAUCGCAUGAUAAUCGAUUGAAAGGUGCAAAUGCAUCACUACCAGAUGGACCUGCGUUGUAUUGGCUAGUUGGUGAGGUAACGGCUCACCAAGGCAACGAUACAUAGCCGACCUGAGAGGGUGAUCGGCCACACUGGGACUGAGACACGGCCCAG